GUUUAGUGAUGAUCCCCAUGCGUGUCAACUGAUCCCAGAAUCCCCUGCAGCUCUUGGCAGCUUGCUGAUGUUCUGUUAGCAGGUGGACCUCAGACUGUAUGGCUCUGGGGCUGUGAUCAGAGUUCUUAGAGGCUGAAAAC
ensembl:snoRNA small nucleolar RNA SNORD10